AUUGAACGCUGGCGGCAGGCUUAACACAUGCAAGUCGAACGGUAGCAGGAGAAAGGUUGCUUUCUUGCUGACGAGUGGCGGACGGGUGAGUAAUGCUUGGGAAUCUGGCUUAUGGAGGGGGAUAACGACGGGAAACUGUCGCUAAUACCGCGUAUUAUCGGAAGAUGAAAGUGCGGGACUGAGAGGCCGCAUGCCAUAGGAUGAGCCCAAGUGGGAUUAGGUAGUUGGUGGGGUAAAUGCCUACCAAGCCUGCGAUCUCUAGCUGGUCUGAGAGGAUGACCAGCCACACUGGAACUGAGACACGGUCCAGACUCCUACGGGAGGCAGCAGUGGGAAUAUUGCGCAAUGGGGGGAACCCUGACGCAGCCAUGCCGCGUGAAUGAAGAAGGCCUUAGGGUUGUAAAGUUCUUUCGGUAUUGAGGAAGGUUGAUGUGUUAAUAGCACAUCAAAUUGACGUUAAAUACAGAAGAAGCACCGGCUAACUCCGUGCCAGCAGCCGCGGUAAUACGGAGGGUGCGAGCGUUAAUCGGAAUAACUGGGCGUAAAGGGCACGCAGGCGGUUAUUUAAGUGAGGUGUGAAAGCCCCGGGCUUAACCUGGGAAUUGCAUUUCAGACUGGGUAACUAGAGUACUUUAGGGAGGGGUAGAAUUCCACGUGUAGCGGUGAAAUGCGUAGAGAUGUGGAGGAAUACCGAAGGCGAAGGCAGCCCCUUGAGAAUGUACUGACGCUCAUGUACGAAAGCGUGGGGAGCAAACAGG
rnacentral:rRNA from 1 species